GGAUGUGAGGGCGAUCUGGCUGCGGCAUCUGUCACUCUAUUGAUCUCCAUGGUUGAUUCGGCUAAUCUGGCUGACUAGGCGUCCCUCACCGAUCCAGGUGCAUCCCUCCUGAAGCAUGCUCAGU
rnacentral:snRNA from 1 species